ACUAAACUAUCACAAUUACUCUUCAUCUAUUCUUACCCUACUCCACCAUCAAUGACACCACCCAAAUUGUCUUCAUCACCUCAAUCUUACAAUCCCAAUCACCACCAUCACCUCAAAUCCACACCUACCUACACCUUAAAUUAACCACCACCUCCCACAUGCAUCUCAAAUCCACCACCACCUCAGAGCCACAAUCAUCACUACCAUCUUCACCUCAAAAUCCACCACCAUUUUCACCUUCAACAAACCUCAAGCACAGAUGUAGAAGCAAAGCAUAGGACCAACUAAAAAGCAAAUUCUGAUCCAAUCGAUGAAGCCAUGACUGGAGUGGAGGCAAAUUGGGGUGGUGACGCUUGGGUGUAGGUCCGUGAUGUGGGUCCCAUCGACGAUGUCAAAUUUAAGGAUUUUGGUUCGCACAUUCGAGAGCUUUUUUUGUGUGUGUAGAUUUUAGCCUCAACAUGGUGUUGGGGCCAAUCAAGGUGGGGGUUGCAAUUGGAAAGUGAUUCCACAAAUGGUAGUGGUGGGAAGUAGAGGCUGGAGAUGGCAGUCGAAGGUGUUCGUGGGGGUGAAAAUAGGAAUGGUAGUGGGUAUGGAAUGAGGUGGGAUGUAAGGUAGGUGUCUGAUUUUUGAAAGAAAAUUCAUUCGAUCUGAUUAUUAAAAUGAAAAAUUUAAAAACAAAUGUGUAUGAUUUUCCCAUGUUUUUGGCCAGGAUCCGGCUAUUCAUACAGAAGGGUUGAUAGAAUAAUGUGGAAAUGAAAAAACCCGAUGGAUGGAAACCAGUCCAAUAUGUAUACCCAUUUCACCUCCAAGAACAUCUAUUUUUUUUCCUAAAUCUUUGAAACCCUACAUGCUGCGACAGAUUCGUUGUCUCUCCGUCCCUGACUUCAUCCAUCUUCUCCGAUUGCAUUGGAGAACUCAAUGACCCCGAUGGAAUACGCUUGGCCUAGUUUGUUGGUUUUCCAAUCGUAAGCCUUUCACAUGAUAUUCUUCCGUUUGAAGCCGCGAGCAUCGUCGUCUCUGUCAGAAUCUACAGCAAACUUUUGGUAAUAUGAUAUUUGCUUUACAUGGGUGUGUCAAUAUUGUUGAGUCUAUAUGUAUUUGCAUAUGGCUUGGACAAAUUCGAUAUGCUAUUUGUACACUAUUCGGAAGUUAGAAUCCCUAUUUGAGAUUUUGUUUAAGCAAUGUAUAUGAAUUUGAACUAUUACUUUGUAGUCGUUUUAGAGCUUAUGUGUACGGGUUUGAAAUGUAAGUUAUAACCCAGCUUUUGAUUUGUUUUGGAGCAUAUGUGUUCUAGCUGUGUGGUGAUUUGAAGUUUUUCCAGAACAUGUGUAGUAGUACCUAUUACAGAGGUGUUCAACGUUUGUCACUGCAAUAGUAACUUUACCCCAAUUUCGGCCAAUGUGUACUGAUUGUGUAAUGAGCUUUCAUGUGUUCAAAAUUGGUCUUAUUCCAUGCUGUAAAGAAAGAACUGUAGGUGUAGAAGUCUUCGAAUUUUUAUUUUUUUACUGAACUGAGGCUAUGAUGUAGUAGUUAAUUUCACACUCAGUUGCGCCGUAUUGACAUUAUGUCAUAGUGGUUGAGUGGCAGCUUGUAAUGGGGAAAAAUCAUGGAGUAUGUCAUAGUUGUAGACGUAACGGUCACUUCUUCUCAUAUUGUCCAAAUAAACGCCCAUGCCCAUCGUGAAGGUGGAGAAGGAUACGAAGAACAAAGGUAGAUGGUUCAAUUAUUGCAGCACAAAUUGUGGAUAUUGAGAGUGAGUUACAGCAGGUGAAACGGGUUGUGAAUCAAAUUCCAUAGGCAGUACAUCUACUAAGCCAUUGGCAAACAAAUUAGAUGAAGAUGUAUCUAGCAUCUUCGAAACCAUUUGUUGGCUAAGUCACAAAAAAGAUGUGGAGAUUUCCGAGAACGUGACAAUACGUACAGGAAAGCUGUUGUGAUGGGGAUAAGAAAUGAAAAGGGUGGGCCUAAUUUGUUGUUAGUGGUG
rnacentral:lncRNA from 1 species